CCCCUAGAUGUUCUGGGCCGCACGCGCGCUACACUGAACGGUUCAACAAGUCUUAACCUUGGCCGAUAGGUCUGGGUAAUCUUUGAACGCUGUUCGUGAUUGGGAUAGACCUUUGCAAUUAUGGGUCUUCAACGAGGAAUUCCUAGUAAACGCAAGUCAUCAGCUUGCAUUGAUUACGUCCCUGCCCUUUGUACACACCGCCCGUCGCACCUACCGAUUGAAUGGUCCGGUGAAAUCUCGGGACGGCGGCUUGGUCGCUUGCGUCCGACUGCUGAAACUUGAUUAAACCAUAUCAUUUAGAGGAAGGUGAANUCGUANCA
rnacentral:rRNA from 1 species